UUUUAGACUAAAAUAGGACUUCAUAUUUAUAUAAAAUGUUUUUCUCCAGUUCUUCAACAAUUACUGCUCAUCCUCUUAUUAAUUUUGACCAAAGGACGUUUAUCAUUUUUUAUGAUCAAUAUACUUGGCAUUGGAUUUAAGGAUCUGCUUAUCAAAUACUGUUAAGGAAGUUUAAAAUUGAAGCAUUAGGGACCCAGGUGUUGUCAAAAGUUGGCGUUGGUUUCUCCUUGUGGUCUUGGACGUGUCUCCUUCCGUCUCCUGCUCAUGGUCGUGGCUCGGUCUGUGGAGUUUGUUCUGGUGAGAUUGAUUGUGCUGCACAUUCCUCUGUGAUACUAACUCCUCUGGAUCUGACAGGGUCUUUGUGUACUUUUCUGCAUUGUCAUUUCCAUAAAUGCCACAGCUAACACAUCAUCUGCUCCCCAGCUUAUUAUCUCCCCAUGUACUUUACAAAUUCAAUUAGGCGCUUCCUUCCAUCUUGUUACAUUUCCUCAACAGCUGAAAUAAUUUUUGGAGCUGUAGUAAUUUACUGCACAACAUUAACAUUUUCUGUCGUGAGCCGUCAAGUCUUCGUCUCUCUGACAAACUUACUGAAGUCAUAGAUAAUUCAUUUGAUUCUAAAUUACAGCUUUCCAUCGCGCCGCGCGCCCCUCUUGCAGGGGUUUGUUGUGACAAGCGGGCGCGCCGCUCGUCUCCAACCGUGAUUUCUGUCGGCCCCGAUGACAAAGAUAUCAUGCAGCGCGUCUUCAAACAUGACGCUGACAUGUAGCACUUAUCCACUCACUCAGAGAGAACCCGACAGCAGUGCUCCUCGUGACACCGCCCUCAUUUCCCAUGAUGCACAUGGACGGGGUUCGCCUCUGCAUGAAGAUUAGUAAUAAUAAGAGUUCUUGAAAAUUUUGGGAUGUACUUGAUUUUUUUCAAGAAGAAAAUGGGGUGGGGAGCUGGAAGGGGACAAAAGCUGCCAAAGUGCCAUUGUGUCUCAAUAAAAUACGACAUUUCCUCUAUUGUGUGUGAAUGAGUCACUUAUAAAGGCAGAAACGUUGGAUAAAAGGGAGACGUUUAUUUAAUUCUAAUUUCAGAAUUUGCAUCUGAAACAACUAAUCGGCUUCAUUUGAUGUGUUUGUCUAGUUAGGCGACUGGAAAGUGAUGGCGUAGGUUAGGAAAGAGGAGGAUCAAGAGGAGCCGGAGGGAAAGAAGCGGAAAAACCAGCACCAGUACGAAGACAAACGCUGAUUGAAAAAAGUGUUUCUGUUUGGUUCAUCUUUGCUCCUCGUCUUCAAACAUUCAAACACAGAUUGUGGAUCUGCCGUUUUUGUAGAAACUGACUUUCGACAGCUAAAAAUAUUCCUUUUCGUGUAUUCAGAGGGAACUUAGGUCUGUAUUUGUCGAUGCAGGUGAGAGAGUGAGGAUUGUAUGAUGUGUAAAAAGCAGGAAAAUGAGAUAAAGACCCUCAGGUUGUGAGUCUGUGGUCCGAAGUCAGUUCCCUCAGCGUGGGUCAGAGACUGUCGCAGGUUUUCUGUUUAACAGUAAGUUAUUAAUGUCUUGUUCCCAUCUCUGAGUGGAUCGAUAAAUCUUUACAGCCGGCGACCUCGACCAAGACUUGAACACUCCUGAAGGCCUUUUUUGAAGAUUGAUUUACUCAUUUCACUCUGAAAGUCAGGUAAGAAUUUGAUGUGAGAAGUUCGCUUGUAUUUUGAUCGUUUUCCUUUUCUGUAUUUUUAUUCGAGACUCUUCAAGCGUCCUUCAGGUCCGUGACUACUGCGCGGCUGCACUGAUGUGAUUGGGGUCAUGUUUGAUUUGCUCAUUCAGAGAAACUUCUUAAAACACAUUGAUUGAUUACGCCUCCAGGAGAAUUUUUCAUAUCCUUUCACGACUGGUUCGGAUUGAUUGGGGCGGAUGUCAGAGUUUGUUUUUCUUACAGUCGGGUACAUUUGGGGAUUGUUGGAGGAAACAGUUUUUUGAUUGAAAUGAAAUAACCUGGAUCGAGGAUGGUUCUUCCCCCACGCGUAUGACACCGAUUUUCUGCGGCAUCCAUCCCGGGGUCAUGAGCAGUUAAAGGCGUCAGGAUUUUCUGAAUGCAAACUCAAUCUUGACACGGACAAAGUUUUCAACAAACAUAUAGAAAUUCCUUUUAAUUGUGGAGAAAGUCUUAAACACAACUUGUAUCUGGAAAAACAGGUACUUUAAAAUGAAGUUAAAGAUCAAUUAUGGAUUAUCGAUAUGAAGUCUCAAAACUUAGUAAGCACAUGUGAACUUUGUACACUCUACCUUUUGACUUUAGUGCAUUAAUUUGAUCGAGUGUACU